rnacentral:rRNA from 1 species
CCCUUAGAUGUUCUGGGCCGCACGCGCGCUACAAUGAUGAAUUCAACAAGUUUAUAACCUUGGUUGAAAAGCCUGGGUAAUCUUUUGAACUUUCGUCGUGAUGGGGCUAGACCCUUGCAAUUAUUGGUCUCCAACGAGGAAUUCCUAGUAAACGCAAGUCAUCAGCUUGCAUUGAUUACGUCCCUGCCCUUUGUACACACCGCCCGUCGCACCUACCGAUUGAAUGGUCCGGUGAAAUCUUCGGAUUGAGACUUUGAUUUGUUUACUCAAAACGCUGUUUCGAGAAGUUGAUUAAACCUUACCAUUUAGAGGAAGGUGAAGUCGUAACA